ensembl:lncRNA
AAAUUUCAUGAAAAAUAGGCUUUUCUAUAAAUGCUCCUGGUCUUUAUUAAGACAAUGCAGACAUAAAACACAUCAUAUUGCAAUUCCUAAAUUGCAGCCAUAUCACUUAUCAAUGGCCAAUAAAUUAUUUCACUUGUAUAACAGAUACAAAUGCUCCAUUCAAGUUCAGUUAAUAGAAUAGUGUCAGGAUGUCAUGCAGACAGCUUGCAUAAAUACACAAGGAAUAAUAGCAUACUCUUAGUAGCAUCUGUGAUUUUCAAGCAGGAAAACUUUGUCUUAUUCCAAAUUUCAAAAUAUGGAAUAAAGAAUGUUUUCAUAUAAAAUUCAUUUGGAACAGUUGGGUUUUUUUUCUCUUUAAAAAGGCAUCUAAUCCACCUGCAACAUACAUUUGCAAUCCAUCUUUUUAGUUACAAAGUCAGAUAUAUAUUCUUUUUCAUCUCAUGUGAUCAAUUGUGGACAUUUCAGUGAUUUCCAACAAUAUCAAACAGCGAAAUUCAAAAUAAUAUUUUUGUGAUGUUAUAUAUAUAUUUAUAAUCAAAGGAAGAAAGACUUGUCAAUUUCAUCUUUGGGCACUAUUUUUCUAUUUUAUCAGAUAAUGGAAAGUCAUUAGUUGUUUCACAGUAUAAAAUCUGGAAUCAAUUACCAACACUGCUUUAUUUUCUGCUCCUAAUUUCGAAAUGUAUUUGGACUGGAGGUACGGGAGAAAUGUUACUGCUUACCAAACAACUUUCCUGGAAAUUUUAAUGCACAAAAUUUCCAGAUUUGGAUCUUCCAAAAUAAGUUAUUUAAAAAAUGAAAUUAAGAAAAGAGGCGGGGGAAGCCUACAGUUUAUAUUCUGCGCGAAUAACUUUUAAUAUCUUCCAGGUGGGGGCAACAGUAAGUCAGUUUUGAGAGGAGAGGGGAGAACGGGCUCUUUAAGCUCCCUGAGUCCAGUUACAGAAGAUGAAAUGGCUUCCUGAUUGUUACACCGUGAAUGAAAUAACCUUAAGUUUCCAGGAGCCCAGUUUCCGGGACUCUUGGGCUCUGCCAGACCCUGGGCAGCAAGAUCAUCAUCUCGUGUGCCGCGCCACCUCUCUGCACCGCGGAGACGGCAAGCGGACCCGAGAGCGCACGCGCGCUGCGCACCUGCCCAAUCGCGGACAGUUGCGGGAGGUUGGUACGUCCAGUCUCCCCACUCGCGCCCGCACCGUGUCCCGGGGGAGUGUACAUCACUCUCAGCGCUCCAGGUCACUCACUUUCCAGGACCUCCAGAGGCAAGGAAACCUUUCUCUCACGUUUACAUCUCAUUCAUUCUUCCUCUGGACAAUUCAAGGCCACUCACAACUGCUGCAGAUGUGUGUGCGCGCGCGCACCUAUACUCUUAAAGAAACUCUAAAGUCACCGCAGCCAGAAAACCACCUUUCAGGCGGGGCGACGGGGGUUCCACUCCUCUCUCCUCUUCUCUUCGCAAAUCCUCGCACUCUGGGGAAGGACGGCUGCCCACGCUGGCGAGGAUGAAGGUGCUGCAUGAAGUGGAGAUGGAUCUUGCACAGACCGGGAAGAUGGACUCCCAAGAGGCAUCUCCGCCUCAUCGAUGUCCCUCUCUGGCCCAGUGCGGAGGAGGCGGGACGUGGAGAGCCCGAGAGGAGGAAACCCCAGGCCCUGCAGUGGCCGGGCGGCGAUGGGGUUGGACCUCACCCUAUGAAGAGAGAACCCCUCCCCUCGAACCCCCAGCAAGGAACAGGAAGGGGAUGGCUCUCUGGGUUCUCAGGAGGUGGCAAUGUCCCCUCUUUCUCUCUGGAUUCUCAGCAGAAGACAGCAAGAUGCCCCAGGGAAUAUUUGUGGAAAACGACGAAUGAAUGGGGAACAGGCUGAAGGAAAGGAAAGAAAGCUACUGUUCCUAGGAUGUGUGCAACCUUCAUGCCAAAAGGGGACUGAGAAAGAGUUCUGAGGUCUACAUGUUUGCCUAUGGCAUCCAUUUGGGCAAAACAUUUAAAUUAGUUUCACUCUAUUACGCGUUCUCACCAUUGACUAGAAGAACUGAGAAACAGAGCGUGGGCUACACCAGGGAUGUGCAACUUCAGCACUAUCGACAUUUUGAGCUGGAUACUUCUUUGUUGUGGGUGCUGUUCUGUGCAUUGUCAGAUGUUCAGCAGCAUCCUUGCUCUCUACCCAUUUGUUGUUAGAAGCAACCUUCUCAAGUGGUGACAGCUGAAAAUGUCCUCUGGGGGCAAAAUCACCCCUGGUUGAGGAUCACAGGUUGACCCCAAAGUCACAGAUUUGGUUAUAGUGAAAACAAAAGCAGAAAUAUGUCCCAACUCUUAACUCAUGCAAGCCAAGACAGCAUCACCAGUCAAAGAAGUUAUUUAGUAGCUACCGACAGUUCUAUAAUUCACUGUACCUUGGGUACCACGGCACCCUCUUUGAGAGGUCCAGGUAUGGUUUUUGUCAAUAAUGCAUCCUGUUGAUGAGGUCAUAAACAAUUGCCAGAAUUUGGUUAACAAUGCUGGAAUUUAUUCUCUGUGUUUCGAUAGUUUUUAGGGGAAGCCAGCAUCUCCAAUUAUUUUAUAUCCUAAGACCAGUCACUCAGUUUUAGGACUCAUAAAGGUGUCAUGUGGGGUUUCCAUCAGUGCAAUGAGGAGCCAUUCCUGAAGAGCGUAAGUUUGCGUGACACAGAUCUCAGGCAUCUGCCCUAACAGACUAUAAGGUCCCGUGCUCACAGUGUCCCCUCCAGCAGUAAGUAGUGAAGCAUGGUCAUUCCUGUAGGAAGUCAGUCUUCACUGUGGUGAAAGAGAUCUUCUUGAAAGAGAUAAGUCGGAAGCAAGGAACUCAUUCUUCACAUCACAACUUGCAUUGGCUUUGCCAGACUUCUGCUCAUGCCUUGAAUAUGUGAGGCACACAGUAUUUGCUAAAUUGUUUUCUUUUUGAGGACCUGAGUAAACGGGAGACAGCAGGGGUCCCAGAUCACCUCUUGUGUGCAUUCCCUCCAUGGGCCAUCGAAAGAGACAGAAUGUUUUAGUUUUGAGGGUAGCUGUCUCACAAAGGACUUAGUGGGGAGCAGGUGUUCACAAAGAGUGUGAGCUGACUGUCCUGAGUCCAACGUCUAGGUCUUCUCCUCAUCUUCUGUGUAGCAUUGAAUGUGCCUCAGUUUCCCAAACUGUAAAAUGGGGACAAGAGUGGUUUCUGCGUAAGUCUGUUGUGAGGAGUGAACAUGUUGUACACAUAACACGUAGAGAAGAGUCCUAGCCCCUGUUAACACUCAUUACUAUUUAUGUCAGGGGUUUCUAUUCCUGAUCUCGAUAAUCCUCACAAACGACCCAUGAGAGAGGCCUAGAGGUCUUGUGUAAACAGCCCAAGGUCACAGCCAAUUGCAACAGAGUGGUCCAACUCUUCCAUUAUCUUAAAGAUGGAGAUGCAGGUAGCAUCUCAGUCAGAAAGACCAGGAGGAGGCCUGACCUAUGAAUCUAACCAUACAGCAUUGAUCUGCCAGCUGUAAUAAAUAAAGCACUAUAUAAAAUAUGAGGACACAGUGAAAUCUCACUGAUAAUAUUGGAAGAAGAGAUGUAUAGGCAGAUAAUGCCACUCAGAAGCAAGUAGUAAAUGAGUCGAUCAAACAGUUGACGUUUUAAAAUAGAAACUGGGUUGAUUCCAUUUGACAUUUAUUGAGGUCCUAUUCUGGAAGGCAUUAUUGCUGUGUGAUAAGGUACCUGGCCUCCAGAUGCCAAGAAUUUAAUAGAAGAUAUUAAACGUGUAUGCAAAACUCGGAGGCAGGAGAGGAAAGUCUGUGGUCCAGGGACAAGGUCUGGUGGGAAUAAAGAGAAGAGAGAAGUAUUUCUGCUGUGGGGAUGUGGGAAGUUUCUGAAGACUCAUGGUCAGUGUCUUGGAGCUUUAGCAAGAUCCAGAGAGAAAGACAAUUCAAGGCAGUGGCGGGAAGAGCAGGUGUGUUGAAGUCAUGGCAAUUGGCCUGCUUCAGAAAGAGCAUGUAGGAUGCUGUCCGGGGAAGCCCAGGAUGCCGUACCAGCAGAGCGGGGCUUAAUUCUGUAGACAACCGGAUUCCACAGUCAGUGCAUGGCAGGCGUGCCCGUGGGAGACUGAGCUUGAGUGGUGGGUUGGCUGGAGUUGGAAAUAACCAUCAAGAGGGAAACAUAUCAAUUAAGAGGUUACUUCAGGAGCUAGAUCUCAUUGCCAUAUACUGUAAAGAUAUAACUUUCAAAAGAAUUAAGGUGCCCCAUUUAAGACAAUAAGUUCUCCUUGUGUAGAGGCAGUGUGGUCUAGUGGUUAAGAACAAGCACUCUGCUGUCAGACCACCUGUGCCAAUUACUAGCUAUGCAAUCCUGGACAAGUCACUUAACCUCUCUGUGCCUCAGUUUUCUCCUCUGUAAAAUGGGAGAGUAGCAUCUACUUCAAAGGGUUGUUGCGGAGUUCA